CUACGGGAUGCUCCAGUGAGGAAUCUUGCGCAAUGGGGGAAACCCUGACGCAGCCAUGCCGCGUGGGUGAAGAAGGCCUUCGGGUCGUAAAGCCCUGUCAGAUGGGAAGAAACACAUAAUUAUUAAUAAUUUUUGUGCCUGACGGUACCAUCAAAGGAAGCACCGGCUAACUCCGUGCCAGCAGCCGCGGUAAUACGGAGGGUGCAAGCGUUGUUCGGAAUUACUGGGCGUAAAGGGCGUGUAGGCGGCCCGGUCAGUCGGAUGUGAAAUCCCUCGGCUCAACUGAGGAACUGCAUCCGAUACUGCUGGGCUUGAGUCUUGGAGGGGGAAGUGGAAUUCCCGGUGUAGAGGUGAAAUUCGUAGAUAUCGGGAGGAACACCAGUGGCGAAGGCGACUUCCUGGACAAAGACUGACGCUGAGACGCGAAAGCGUGGGGAGCAAACAGGAUUAGAUACCCGAGUAGUC
rnacentral:rRNA from 1 species